AAAGUCCUUCAACCCAAAGCCCAAGUUGCAAGGAAUUCAUGGUCCAAAGUGCCUCUGACACAAUCAGACACUGUCCAGACUACUACAGUGUCUCAGUGGGCUCAUUAAAAAGGACUUAAUCACCAAGAUCUCCAUUGCGGCGUGUAGCAGCACUGAACUUACUGAAGGGCUGGCUCCUGUAGUACCUCACUGUUCUGGCAGUGUUUGCAAUCAUGCGCUAAGAGGAAAAAAACAGAAAAAGAAAAAAGAAGACAGAAAUGCAAGUCAGCUUAGUGUUUAAUCCAAAAAGGAAAACAAACCAUUAUUUAUUUUGUCUAUGCUUGGUAUCACCAGAAACAGGAUGUUCUAAGACGUCGACUAUCUGAAGAGCUGGUUGAUGUAUAACGUUUUUAAUGACUUUAAAGGGCACCCAUAUUCUGAGGCACUGGGCAUUUUCAGAGUUUCGUUUGCAACAAAGAAUAAAAAGGAUUCUUUAUGCUGAAGUCAAUUAAACAAAAGGGAGAAAAAUGAAAAUGAAGGACAGAAACAGAGAAUCCUCAAUCUCUGUGGAAAAACACUGAUCUUUGACUUACUAAAGUAAAAGAAAAUGACUUUGAGGAAAACUUAUGUAGGAAAAAAAAACAUAGAAAAGUCAAGGCCUUACAAAUAUAUACAUGUGAGCAUCAAAAUACCUCGCUGAAUACCAGUGCUUUGUAAGCAUGACAUGACCCACGUCUACACUGGAUGAUUUCUCACACACAAAGAAGCAAUCGAAAAAGUUUGAACUUCACUUUCAUAAAGGAUCCUAAAAACCAGAACGUCUGUUGAUCAGCAUGAAAAAUAUAUUACAAAUACCUCCAAGAAAAUGCAACAUACAAUGUAUAAUUAGCCUCUGAUAUAUGGAGCCCUGAAAUAAACAGUAACUAUGAUAAUUUCCCUGCUAAUUUACUUUAAGUUGUUUUUUCACUUCUCGAAAGGCUUUGCAUCCG